rnacentral:rRNA from 1 species
GACGAACGCUGGCGGCGUGCUUAACACAUGCAAGUCGAACGGAAAGGCCCUGGUUUUGUGGGGUGCUCGAGUGGCGAACGGGUGAGUAACACGUGAGUAACCUGCCCUUGCCUUUGUGGUAACUUCAGGAAACUGGGGCUAAUACCGGAUAGGAGCUCCUGCUGCCUGGUGGGGGUUGGAAAGUUUCGGCGGUUGGGGAUGGACUCGCGGCUUAUCAGCUUGUUGGUGGGGUAGUGGCUUACCAAGGCUAUGACGGAUAGCCGGCCUGAGAGGGUGACCGGCCACAUUGGGACUGAGAUACGGCCCAGACUCGUACGUGAGGCAGCAGUGGAGAAUAUUGCACAAUGGGCGGAAGCCUGAUGCAGCAGCGCCGCGUGCGGGAUGAAGGCCUUCGGGUUGUGAACCGCUUUCGCCUGUGACGAAGCGUGAGUGACGGUAAUGGGUAAAGAAGCACCGGCUAACUACGUG